CGCGCAGGCGGUUAAUUAAGUCGAAUGUGAAAGCCCCCGGCUCAACUGGGGAGGGUCAUUCGAUACUGAUCAACUUGAAGGCAGGAGAGGGUAGUGGAAUUCCCGGUGUAGUGGUGAAAUGCGUAGAUAUCGGGAGGAACACCAGUGGCGAAGGCGACUACCUGGCCUGUUCUUGACGCUGAGGCGCGAAAGCUGGGGGAGGCAAACG
rnacentral:rRNA from 1 species